ACCAAUCUUAAUCUACAAAUAAUGUAACUGUAAUCCUUAAUGAGUAAAGUAUUUUUCCUACCGAAAAUAAUUUCUAACUGACAGGUGUACACUUUCAAACGUCAACUUUCUUUUUAAAUUUGCAAAGUGAAAGCUACUAUGAAAUUGGUUCCAAACAAUACCACAAACUUCCAAGAAGGUAAUACUUCCAACGAAAUUCAAUACUUUUUACUUUAAAUAUGUAACAAUGAGCUGACACUAAAGAAAUUUAAGGGAAAUGUAAGCAAGUACUCGAAAUUAAUUGUUAUUUCUCAAAUUCGAAUAUCUUUGUAAUAAGUCCGUACUACAAAAGAAUGCACAAAAACCUUUUUAAAUUUCAAUUUUACGCAUAAAAGCAACACAAAUCUAAAACAAAUGUUGAAAUUAAAUCUUAGUAUCUAAAAUGAGUGAAAUUUCCUAGCAUGUACUUGGUGCAAAGUACAAAACCACGUUAUUUUUACGGUUGGCAAUAACCUCAAAAAUCAAAAAAUUGCUUGUCACUUUCUCUUCUAAAAAACAUCAAAUAAAUUGCAUCAAACCAGCAAAAUUGCAAUCAAAUCCUCAAAUUACUAUAUCUAAAGACUAUUUAAUGAAUAGAGAGCAACCAAGACUAAACAAAAAGCUGGCGCUGAUGCCCUACUAAAUUAAAUCAUGGAAAGGACCGACCUCAGAAUUUAAACGUUCCUCAGAUGCAGCGGGGUGACAGGCUGCUUUCCCCGGUGAAGCUAGAUGCUGAGCGGAGACGUAGAGCUCAGGGGCCGCGCACGUGGUACCAAAAUGACGUGGCAGAGGUAGAUGGCGUGUUUAAAUUCUUCGCUCCAGGAGGUCUCCAAAACUAAAUUGACUUCUAGGAUUUUUGAAGCUUUUGAGAUAAAUUACUCAACGAAUGAAAUAAAUGAAUGAAUAAAUCAGUAAAUAAAUCCCGGCUCCUGAAAACCGAGAAAAGGUUGUAUUAGCCUUCGCCCUUUAUGGCCUCUAGAAAAGAGAUGAAACCAUUGGAAAUUUGGCUCACCGCACUGGUAGCUGCUAAGCCUUCUGGCGGAGCGCUCCCUUCCCUCGAGCAGGAGUCUCUCUGCAAAGAACCAAAAUUUGGUUAAGAACAAACCCACAACGUCUCGCGCCAUUGUGGAGUUGAUCACCACGAAAUUUAAUUUCUACUCACUCAGUGGAGCUUCCGAAGGACUCAAGCCGUUUCCAUCUUUCAGACCACCAUGCCGAAAGUGUGGCCUUCCCACAAAUUGGGCUCUUGCGAGCGAGUGUCCCCAGAGGGGGUCCCGAAUCAAAUGUGCAUAUCAUUCUCGAAUGAUCUCCAAUAUGGAGUCCCUGAGAGCCCUAACAAAAGGUAAUAGGGUGGCAGUCCCUUGAAGACACAAAUCCCACGAAAAUUCUGUCUGAAUUAUUUAGACAAUAUCACUCCUGAGCCUAAGAAAUAUAUUUUUACCAUUUAA